AUGAAGAGGAAACAGUUCCAUGUUUGUCAGAGUUAUGCAAAGACCAUUAACAUAGCCCAAGGGCAAACCAUCCCAACUGUCGGUAUUUACCUUCCGGAGCAUGUACUCUCGCAUGCCCAGGUUUAUCUUGCACUGUCAAGAGGUGUGUCAUUGCAGACAACUCGGAUUCUGGUAAAGCCAAAUAAAAUAUAG
rnacentral:rRNA from 1 species